GGAGUUCAGGAGUAGGGUUUGGCUUCUCUCUCUCCCCCUCUCACUCUAGGAACUUCUCUCUCUACAAGGAAUCAAGGGUUUAAGCUUGAUUCUCCUCUUUGCUUGUUGUUUACUAGCAAGGAGUGGUUUGGAGCUGCUGUGGAAGGAAAAAGAAGGAGUUUUAAAGAGUAUUUCGCAACCUUGAACCUUGUUCUUGCAGGAUGAGGCUUUGGGGAGCCGAGGUUCGGAGAGGUUCCAGCAGCUAGAGGAGAGCUCUUUUACUGUAAUUACUUUACAAUAGAACAGGGAAGAAUGGAAGUAAGGGUUGAGCAAGCAACUACAAGUAUUACUUUGAGCUGAGAUCGUGAUCUUAUGGAUUGAUUAGGAAGGUACUUCAGUGUAUGUUGGCAGCAGGUUUGCCACAGAUCGUCGGAUGAUUCUUGACUAACAUUUGGAAACUUUCGGAGGUUAAAUUGGUGGACUAAAUUGAACCCAAAACAGUUCAAGCUGGGGUCUUGUACAAGGUUUAAGCUGAGUUUGGGGGCCUCUAUCUACGUUGAAGAGUAAACUCAACUACCUUUUAAAACUAUGAACCUGAACACUUGGACUGCCUACCAGUGUGAGAUCGACAAGAAACAUCGAUUAGUAGGUCAUUUAUGAUAAAUUAGUAGGAAGAAGCUGUGGGUUUGGGUUUGUCACAAUGUCUACAGUUGAAGAAGCGGAAGCAACUGUGGAGACGACGGCGGCGGCGAUGGCCGCGACAGAAACGACGACGAUGGCAGCAGUAGCCGCCGCGUGGGAGGCAAAGGAGGAUGAGGGGAGGAAGAGGAGAUGGCGGUGGAGGGAGUAGAGGGAGUGGAGCUCGUGGAGCAUGUGGGCGCGGAUGAGGAGGUGGGAGAUAGUGCAAUUUUGUCUGAGACUAAGUUGCACUAUUUAAGACAAAUUU